GNAAUUAUUGGGCGUAAAGCGCGCGCAGGCGGAUCAGUCAGUCUGUCUUAAAAGUUCGGGGCUUAACCCCGUGAUGGGAUGGAAACUGCUGAUCUAGAGUNUCGGAGAGGAAAGUGGAAUUCCUAGUGUAGCGGUGAAAUGCGUAGAUAUUAGGAAGAACACCAGUGGCGAAGGCGACUUUCUGGACGAAAACUGACGCUGAGGCGCGAAAGCCAGGGGAGCGAACGGGAUUAGAUACCCCGGUAGUCCUGNCCGUAAACGAUGGGUACUAGGUGUAGGAGGUAUCGACCCCUUCUGUGCCGGAGUUAACGCAAUAAGUACCCCGCCUGGGGAGUACGACCGCAAGGUUGAAACUCAAAGGAAUUGACGGGGGCCCGCACAAGCGGUGGAGUAUGUGGUUUAAUUCGACGCAACGCGAAGAACCUUACCAGGUCUUGACAUUGAUGGACAGAACUAGAGAUAGUUCCUCUUCUUCGGAAGCCAGAAAACAGGUGGUGCACGGUUGUCGUCAGCUCGUGUCGUGAGAUGUUGGGUUAAGUCCCGCAACGAGCGCAACCCCUAUCUUAUGUUGCCAGCACUUUGGGUGGGAACUCAUGAGAGACUGCCGUAGACAAUGCGGAGGAAGGCGGGGAUGACGUCAAAUCAUCAUGCCCCUUAUGACCUGGGCUACACACGUACUACAAUGGGAGUUAAUAGACGGAAGCGAGAUCGCGAGAUGGAGCAAACCCGAGAAACACUCUCUCAGUUCGGAUCGUAGGCUGCAACUCGCCUACGUGAAGUCGGAAUCGCUAGUAAUCGCAGGUCAGCAUACUGCGGUGAAUACGUUCCCGGGCCUUGUACACACCGCCCGUCACACCACGAAAGUCGGAAGUGCCCAAAGCCGGNGGGGUAAC
rnacentral:rRNA from 1 species